UUUUAGUAUGUUAACUUGCAAGAUUUCUCACGACUAUGUUUUUUUGUUAUAGGUUUAUAAAUUUCGAAAUAUAGUUGCAGCUUCACGGAAUGGACGGCCCAAAUUAUGUUAGUGUCUAUAUGUUUACUUGGUGGUGGUCUAGCGUGAGUGACACCUGCAUCUGUAACUUACCCAUUGGAUGUUCUUUGAAAUCACCUGACAACACAGAAAACCACUAGGUAUUACAAGGGCAUCUUUCACACGUUGUCUACAAUUUGUAGAGAAGAGAAUGGUAGAGGAUUGUAAAGGCCUUUGGUCCACCUUAUUGGGAGUUGGACCUGAUAUAUCAAUCAACGUUUAUGUAUAUGAAUCCCUGAGGUCUCAUUGGAAAAUGGAAAGUUGAAUGUCAAACUGUGCA